AGAAGCUCGAUGCCAAAAUGCAGGCCUUCAUUACCUAUUCCAGCGAUUAUUUAGGCCUACACCACCGUCACCAUCUUCCUGUUAGUCAAAGCAACACAGCAGAGGGAUGACUGUGACUUCCAAUAACCUCCGCCAUCACAAUUUUGGUGGUCGUAAUCUUUUCAAAACCAUUCAAAUCCAAUGAUCUUCUCCUUUUUCACCUCAAAGCUACAAAUCGAGAUCUGAGGAGGCAAUCAGGUAUCAAAUCUAAAACUAUUAUUCGAUCUCAUAACCGCAACUUAAAAUCUCACUUUCAUAUAAGAUUUUACACACAAAAUCAUCACUGAAUAACAAUCCACUUCAGUUGCUGGCUGAUUCAUCUGAUUCUUUCUCAUCAGGUUGGUUACUAAACAUUGCGAUUCUGGAGUCUUGAUGACCAUCUGCACUGGUAUUUUUAGCAUUAUUUGUUUCUAGUCCUCUCCUCCUGAUUAAUAUUUCUUUAAUUUUGCUCUCUCGCUCAUAAGUUUAUGAAAGCUUGUUCCUUGAUUGGACAAUUGAGUAUUUGAGUUGUUUGAUAGUUUUGAGAUUGAAAACAAUAAAUAUGAGAUGAGUUCUAUUGAUUAGUUUUUUAGUGUAUUUUGUUACUUUUCCUUCGUGGUUUCAUUACACAUUGGCCUAGAAAUGUCUAGCAAAAACAAAAUUAUUGCUUUUUUAUUUAAAUAUUUUAAGUGCUAACUUGGAACGAUUGGAGAUCAUAAUGGGGUCAUGGGUGUAUAAAGGGAGAGAAGAACACGCAGAGGUGAAAUUCUAACUGGGUAUGUUUUAUAUUUGGAUCUUUUUAUGUUUUUAGCCUCUUGAUUUCUCUUCUGUUUAUCUUUCAGGGCUUAUUUUUUUGGUUAAAUGUUGACACUUUGAAUUUGAUUAGGGGUAGUCUGUAGUAAUCAUGCCCUUCAUAAUAUGGUAACAGGCGCCAUUUUACGUUUGUUGAAAAGACCAUAGGAAGGGAUAUGCUUAAUACAUUGAUUUCUUAUUUGUGGUGGGUGCUUGGAUUCAUUUGGAUGGUGUCGUACAAUAAUAUUGCCACUCCACGUCUAUUCCGGUAUGUAUUGAACUAACUGUGAUCUUUCAUAAACAAUCUAGAGAAAGGUUAAAUUAUAAAUAAUUAUUAAAAGUGGAUAAAAGUGUUUGUGGGUUGAUCCGUACUAAAAAAAACUCUAAUUUUAGUCUGAAUUUGUUUGACCCGUUAUGGGUUCAAGCCCAAAAGAAUGAUUUUUAACAUAGGUUGGGUCAAGUUUUUAACCAAAACUAUGUUAUUUAAAAUUUGUUUUUGCUUAAAAUAUGUAAUGAAAUAUGUCCUACUCAAAAAAUGCGUGUGUAUCUAUACUAAUGCAUACUGCAAGGGCAAAAUGGUCAUUUGAUCGGAAAAGGUAAAAACACAGUUCUUAUAUUUGUAUUCUUAUACCAAGAAUUUUUCUGGGUUUGGAGACUUUUGAUGUAACACUGUAGCUUAGUGCAGCUCAGAUAUAAUAACAAUGUUUCUUAAUUUUCCUUUUUAGUUUAAUUUUCUAAGUUUCAUAUAUCUCUUGCCAGAUUCUUUGAUUGUUUUUUCUUUUGCAAAACAGGUUGGUCGGACAACAACCUGUAUCUCAUAUCUGGAAUAGACUUAACAUGUUUUGGUUCUGUGAAAGUUGGGUUACCCACAAAACUGAGCACGGUUCGGAAAAAAAACAUACCAUGGCUGGUGAAGGAAAGC